rnacentral:rRNA from 1 species
UACGGGGGGAGCAAGCGUUGUUCGGAUUUACUGGGCGUAAAGGGCGCGUAGGCGGUCGUCUAAGUCACUUGUGAAAUCUCCGGGCUUAACCCGGAACGGUCAGCCGAUACUGCAGGGCUAGAGUGCAGAAGGGGCAACUGGAAUUCUCGGUGUAGCGGUGAAAUGCGUAGAUAUCGAGAGGAACACCUGCGGCGAAGGCGGGUUGCUGGGCUGACACUGACGCUGAGGCGCGAAAGCUAGGGGAGCGAACGGG